rnacentral:rRNA from 1 species
UGGGGAAUAUUGCACAAUGGGCGCAAGCCUGAUGCAGCCAUGUCGCGUGUAUGAAGAAGGCCUUCGGGUUGUAAAGUACUUUCAGUCGGGAGGAAGGUGUCAAGGUUAAUAACCUUGGCAAUUGACGUUACCGACAGAAGAAGCACCGGCUAACUCCGUGCCAGCAGCCGCGGUAAUACGGAGGGUGCAAGCGUUAAUCGGAGUUACUGGGCGUAAAGCGCACGCAGGCGGUUUGUUAAGUCAGAUGUGAAAUCCUCGGGCUCAACCUGGGAACUGCAUCUGAUACUGGCAAGCUUGAGUCUCGUAGAGGGGGGUAGAAUUCCAGGUGUAGCGGUGAAAUGCGUAGAGAUCUGGAGGAAUACCGGUGGCGAAGGCGGCCCCCUGGACGAAGACUGACGCUCAGGUGCGAAAGCGUGGGGAGCAAACAGG